rnacentral:lncRNA from 1 species
UUACAUGAUUAUUACAUAGCAUUAAAUCAAAAAUUAAAAUAUAUAAAUAUAGCAUGAACUACAUGUUGAUCAUAUCAACAUAUUUCUAUACCACAUCUAAUAUAUGUAUUAAACAAUAGAUCAGAUCUAUUACCUUGCAAGUUAGACGUUCUAACCUUGCUGAUCCAGGCUUAAGGAUGAUGUUGCAAGCCGCACACGUGUCCGACCUCUAGGAGUCAUCCACACG